rnacentral:lncRNA from 1 species
UUUUGUGUUUCUUUAGAAAAAAAAAAGGGAAAAUGGGCUUUGAUUUUUCUCUAAGGAAACCCAGAAUCUGGCCAUGGGCAUGGCGAACCUCCGUCGUAUCCCCGUAGUAGACGGUGGCUGGAGGAGCCCAAAAUCGGCCCUUUCAGCCGUCUUCUUUUAACACCCCUCUUGAACAACCCACUUUCUAUCCAAAAAGAUAAGAAAGGGUAAAAAAUAGUCCCAAAAGGUUCAAUUCCUCUAAGAAACCGUUGCGACCUAGGCCCGACUGAACCCUAAGGGCUCUGGGUUUUCGGCACCGAAGAGAAACCCGAAUCGGAAAGGCUUGGUAAGUUUCUCUUUUUUUCUUUCUUUUCCUUACAAACGAAAACAACAAUACUAGAGGAAAAAAUCACCUUUCGGUUUGCAAUUUCUGCUUUCUAUUGAUUGCUCUGUAUGUGUGUAACCUUUACAAAAAUGAAAUCCCUUGGUUUUAUACUUGAAAGCAAAUAAAGAAAAGAAAAAUACAAAAAUCUGCUCAUUUUUUGCCUCUAUUUUGCUGUGUUUUCAUCUGUCUUGCAGGUACAAGGCCAGCAGUGGCGUACGGAGGAAGCGACGUGGCGUGCGGUGGUGCAUGGAGGCCAUACGGAGGCGCGCUGGAGGUUGUACGAGGGUUGUUGGCUGCGGCGCAAAGGGGAAACCUUAGGGUUUCUGUGAGUGUUUUAAUUUUGGGCCAUUUGGGCCUUGUAUUUCUAGGCUAGGCUUUAGGUUUGGGUCUGGUUUUAAAAAUAUUGGAUCAUACUUGUUGUUGGGCUAUAGACUAUUCUAAUUUGGGUUAUAAUUUGGGCCUUGGAUUGUUUAUUUAUUCGGUUUUAUUUAUUGUUUUAAUCUGGGCUAAAAUUGGCCUAUCACACUCAACACUUGUCCUAAAAUGACCAAAUGUAGUUCCAAUGCCCUUCUUGUCAACUCCGUAAUUUGGUAACACCAUUAAAGAAAAAUGAAAUAUCCACAACUGAGUUCAUAUACAGCGAUUACUCUAAUAUUCAUGCAUGGGAAAGAAAUGUUUCAUCAAUAUCCAAUUAAAAAUAUCAAAAAAAUAAAAAAAAAAAUCCUUGAUUUCUUAUGAACCCUAAA